GUCCCUUCGCGUCGAAGCAUGAACACAAUGGUCCAGAGGCGGAGAAAGCUCAUGAUUUAUCUCCGGCGCACCGACUGGCCGAUGUACUGCUACGUGAUCAGCCGAUUGUUACUCAAAGAUAGGAUCCAAGUCUCCAACCGAGCGAUGCAAGCGGGCACCAAGAAGAAAACCAUGAAGGACAAGCGGCGAAGGAAGAAGAGGAAGGUGAAGAAAAGCGAGAAAUACAGGAAGAAAGCUAACGACGUUUGAUUGAGGCUUGAAGCGACUUGGAAAGGAAAUUCCCUGUACAAUCUGUGGCAGACUAGCGCUCCCAGCUUUCACUGAUUUCCUUGAGCUCAUCCCAGAAAGGUACCUACAAAGUUCGAGUUUUGUGGGAUAACUUUGAAGUCUCUGUUUUGAUUGAGCUGAAGGACUAGAACUCGAACUUUAUAGGUGUUUUCAUUCUCGUCAUGAUCCCUGGCGAUAUCUCUCCAGCUCGAGCAGUGGUUUGGCAACCAAAACCUCGCUCUCAUUGAUCGAGCUCGAGUCUGGAGCAAAGCUCGGGAGCACGAUAAACUUUCCCCGUGAAUUCUUCACUUGAUAUCACCGCAUUCCACAUCUUGGCAUCGUUGAGUCUCGUCUAAAUCCUCCCUGUCAAAGCUCGGGUCCGGAAGAGCAUGCCUAGUCGGAAAUCGGAAUAAUAAAGCUUUACAAAGCUUGAUUUUUUGUU